UGUCCGUGACGUACGGAUGCAGAAAUAUAGAACGCAUGCGUGCCCACCCCCCCACUCCGGUCCAACAACAAUAUAAAAUGAUACCGUAAUGCACCUGUUCUUUGUCUUUGGAUCUUUUGAAUAAAUGGAUCAAUACAUGAUGAAUCACAAUGAUCGCAAGCAGAGGACCGUGAGAGUUAUUGAGCAGCAGAUGAACCAGUUCAAAAAUCGGACACGUUAACGGAGCACUGAACUAGGCCCUCUCGGAUGCCAUUUGUUUCACUACGACUCCUUUCAACUGCACACCCCUCUUCCCCCGCGAGAUAAGGGCUAAUAAAACGCUUGAGGUGGCGUUUUGAGGACAUGGCAUGAAGACGAACCGCCGACGGGGAGUAGGUGGUAACGAAGGGGAGAUGAGGGCCAACAGCAACCGCUUUGGUUUCUCUGAACGUUCCGAGGGCCUUUCUCAGAAACGAUCUGCAGUACCCUCUGGUGGACAACGCAGAGAAUAGUACCUUGGUGGCUGACUGAAAGUCCCCAGGCCUAGAGCAGAUCCUAUGGAACCUAAGCAAUUGUGAUUUUACAAGCCCGGCAUAUGUGUGUCUGUGGUGAAAGCUGGACUUGUGCAGCAGAGCGUGUGUGUCAGUGUCUUUAAAGUAGACCUUGAUGUCCAGCCGGGAUGUGGAUGGGAACUCUGGGCCCUUAAAUGUGGUCGUGUCUAGGAAGUCAACAGAGGAGGGGCUAAAGAUGGUUCUACAUUGUCUGCAUUGGAUGGCAUAAACCACAUUGGUGGAAAGCAGCGAGAAGGUCUGCCAGAUGGGAGUUUGCCAAGUUGAAGAUGUAUUUGAGAGAAGUUGGCCUGGUUGGAUGGAAAGAGAGCGGCUACUUCAUGCUUGAUAGUACGGAGAAAGCGUUUGGAGUAACCGCGGGGCCUAAGGGCCUCAAAAAGGGUCCUAGUAGCCUCCUCUACAUGAUGGGAGAGGGAACAGAUACGAUGGAAGCGGAUAAGUUGGGAUUUGAUAAUAGAACUACAAGUGUGUCGGGGAUGGUAGCUGCUGCUAAAUAAUAAAGAAUGUCUGUCAGUGUCUUUGAAAUAUACUUUAGUGCCUAAUGUUUUGUAACCAUCUUUUACCUCA